CUACCAUUAUAUUUUAUAUGCGCGAAUCACAUAAAAUAGAUUCGACUGACUUCAUUGCGAAUUUAUGUGCAGCAUUCAUAAUUUAUUAAUCAUCAACGAUAUUUAAUACUUAAUCAUAUACAAUAUAAAGAGCCGGGACGCAUCGCGAACGCGGAAAAAUUUCCGCUGUGCCAGCGAGUGUGCCAGAAUUUUCCACCAGCAGAUCGACAACAGUCACUGGCUGCGGAAAAGAGUUGUUCCGUCAUCAAUAGCGGGGAAUUACUCAUUACCGUUUUUCGCCAUAACUUCCGUAGCAACUUUGCAGGCGGCGAUUGAUUAUGUGUUGUGAACAGGUGAGCCAUGAGUGGCGUAUACACAAAUUACGUAAGCAGGAGUUCAACCCAAGCUUACGGACCAUCAAACUUCUCAAGGUGGCAAAUACAAAACGCGUUGCGAGGCGCGAGUGCGGAUAGAAAAUGUCUAUUUUUGAUGAUAUUUGCAAAUUAAACCUGUCGACGAA